rnacentral:rRNA from 1 species
UCUUAAUAUCAUAAAACAUAUUCAAUCUUGUCUGAUUUCAAAAGUUAACCAGAGCCAGGCCUGGUAAAUACAUGGAUGGGAGACCACUAUGGAAUACUGGUGAUCUUCAGGG